ACAAAGGAUUUUAUAAAAUCCACAAAAGAGUGACAGAAGUAAUGG
rfam:Canis lupus familiaris chromosome 27, whole genome shotgun sequence.